rnacentral:lncRNA from 1 species
GGGUGGUGGGGGUGAUUUCUCCGGCGGUGGUGGGGACUUGUAGUAGUAAGGUGGUGGAGGAGAUGGCGAUGGUGGUGGUGGGGACUUGUAGUAGUAAGGAGGGAGUGGUGAUGGAGAUGGUGGUGGGGGAGAUUUGUAGUAGUAGGGAUGAGGGGAUGGAGAUGGUGGUGGGGGAGAUUUGUAGUAGUAGGGAUGAGGGGAUGGAGAUGGUGGUGGGGGAGAUUUGUAGUAGUAGGGAUGAGGGGAUGGAGAUGGUGGUGGUGGGGAGACGUAAUGAUAAGGUGGUGGUGGAGAUUUCUCCGGCGGUGGUGGGGAGAUGUACUGAUAAGGUGGUGGUGGGGAUUUCUCCGGAGGUGGUGGGGAGAUGUAGUGAUAAGGUGGUGGUGGGGAUUUUUCCGGUGGUGGUGGGGAGAUGUACUGAUAAGGUGGUGGUGGAGAUUUUUCCGGUGGUGGUGGGGAGAUGUACUGAUAAGGUGGUGGUGGAGAUUUUUCCGGUGGUGGUGGGGAGACGUAAUAAUACGGCUUUGGUGGAGGUUUCACCGGUGGUGGCGGUGACUUGUAUAGGUAAGUUGGUGGUGGAGGUGGUGGUGAUUUAUAGACAUAAGUUGGUGGUGGUGGGGAGACGUAAUAAUACGGCUUUGGUGGAGGUUUCACUGGUGGUGGCGGUGACUUGUAUAGGUAAGUUGGUGGUGGAGGUGGUGGUGAUUUAUAGACAUAAGUUGGUGGUGGUGGGGAGACGUAAUAAUACGGCUUUGGCGGAGGUUUCACCGGUGGUGGCGGUGACUUGUAUAGGUAAGUUGGUGGUGGAGGUGGUGGUGAUUUAUAGACAUAAGUUGGUGGUGGUGGGGAGACGUAAUAAUACGGCUUUGGUGGAGGUUUCACCGGUGGUGGCGGUGACUUGUAUAGGUAAGUUGGUGGUGGAGGUGGUGGUGAUUUAUAGACAUAAGUUGGUGGCGGAGGAGAUAUGUAGUGGUAAGGAGCAG